rnacentral:lncRNA from 1 species
UAACAUUCGGUGCUUUUAUUGUGUUUUUCCAAAAAAGCCAAAGAUUUGACUUUUGAUUAUUCCUAGAAUUAUGAACAAAAUUUAAAUCAAAACCCAAGGAAGAUAGAAGACAUACUGGAGCCUUUGAAGGAAUAAUCAUGGGCUCUGCAAUUGCUAAAAUUUCUAUAUUUUCUGAUCUCAUCAAAUUCUUGAGUGCGGAAAUUGCUCUUUUGUUCACAAGCCCCUUUGCAUUCCAGAGUAAAGUCUUCAUUGGGAUAACUUUGUAUUCUUUAGCUGCACCUUUGCAGCAACUCUAUCGGAUCUCCUAGAGGGUGAUAUAUCCACUUGCUCAGACUUCUUUUUUCUUCAUCUUUUUUCUCUUCAUCUUGACACCUUCCUAUGAGACCGGAUAUUCAAGGGCCUCUUCUACUUCACCACACUGUUGACUUUCAUCCUGAGAAGAGGCUUGUGAAUCCUCUAGAUCAGAAUGAUCUUCAUUAUCUUCUUUCCCACACAUCACUUCAGUAAAAUUCAAUUGUGGCUGCUGUUCCUUUCGAAUAAGUGCAUCACUUUUUGGACUUCUUCUUGUACAAAAUAGACUGUGGCCAUAUUUCCCACCAAAUAGGUAGAAAGCACUUGUCCCAGACUGGUUUCUUGGACAAUUUGUCCUUGGUCUUGUGUCUCUGGUACAAUAUUUGAUUGACUCCCUUUUUUUGAGCUGUGUUUCUUCAUUGGAGUGGACCAUUCUUGAUCUGUGGCUUCCUGGGUAGUAGAAGAGUCACUUGCAGCCAAAUUACAUUGCCAAGUAUUGGAUAAAUCCAGCGUUGCCUCAAUCCUCUCAAUGUUUUCUUCAUUUGCCCGUAACGUGGCCACGCUGGUAUCAAAUUCCUCGACAAUCG